CUGCACUGACAGCCCCCUCUCCCUCUCUUAGUCUUUCUGUUUCCUCUCCCUCCCUCACUCUCCCUCUUUCUCUUCCCCUCUCUUUCUCUCCUUGUCUUUUUGUCUCUUUAUGUCUGUUGCAUUAUGCCUGAAUAAUUUUCAGUCUUUUUUUUUCUCUCCUCUUGCACGCACAUGCUAAAAUAACUAGACAAAGAUGCAAGGUGGUUGCUGCAGUCCCUGUCUCUAGGACAAAACCAAGAAAGCUUGUGAUUGCAAUGCCACCUUUCCUUUUUUUUUUCUCUUCUUUUUUUCUUCCCCAGCCAUGCUUGGUGAUUAAACUUCCUCAGGAUGGGGAAGAAAAAGGAGCUGGAAAUGAAAUAGGGUUGAGGAAAAAUCCUAUUGCAGCAGCUGCAUCCAGUGGUGUCUGCUGCCAGAUGUGCGAAGGUUCCUGGGGUCCUUGUCACUAAAAGGCAGUAUUCAAAUAUUUGGAGACAAAAGCUGCAUCCUCAGUGAUCAUUUUCUUUAUUUAACAUGGCAGCAGGCAUCGUGUGGGGAAAAAUCAACAUGCUGGAUGUUGAAUCGGACUUUUCUCCUUUCUGGGAUGAAAGGAUGUUAUCUAUCCCGUGCCAAGAGGGAACUGAGAGCAAUGAACAUAUGGCUGUUACUAUCAGCACUGGUGUAUUUGCGGCGAUGCCUAUCAACAUCCACCAGAGAGCAGGGCAGCUCCAAAACCCACAUCUUUUAUGCUGUGGAAAUUGAUGGAGACAGCAACACAGCCAGCUUCUUGGCCAAACAACAUGGAAUGCAGUUCAUUUCAAAGGUACUGGUCUCUUAG
rnacentral:lncRNA from 1 species